GCCUGGUAGCUAAGUGGUAAAGCUCCUGUAUAUGGGGAGCGAAAGCGCCUAGCAAUAACUACGAAGAGGCCGCAGGUUUGAAUCCUGCCCGGUUGCU